GAUCAUGGCUCAGAUUGAACGCUGGCGGCAUGCCUUACACAUGCAAGUCGAACGGCAGCACGGGAGCUUGCUCCUGGUGGCGAGUGGCGAACGGGUGAGUAAUACAUCGGAACGUACCCUGAAGUGGGGGAUAACGUAGCGAAAGUUACGCUAAUACCGCAUAUUCUGUGAGCAGGAAAGAGGGGGGAUCGCAAGACCUCUUGCUUUAGGAGCGGCCGAUGUCGGAUUAGCUAGUUGGUGAGGUAAAGGCUCACCAAGGCGACGAUCCGUAGCGGGUCUGAGAGGAUGAUCCGCCACACUGGGACUGAGACACGGCCCAGACUCCUACGGGAGGCAGCAGUGGGGAAUUUUGGACAAUGGGCGCAAGCCUGAUCCAGCCAUGCCGCGUGAGUGAAGAAGGCCUUCGGGUUGUAAAGCUCUUUCGGUGGGGAAGAAAUUGCACAGGAUAAUACCUUGUGUAGACGACGGUACCCGCAUAAGAAGCACCGGCUAACUACGUG
rnacentral:rRNA from 1 species